rnacentral:rRNA from 1 species
AUUGAACGCUGGCGGCAUGCUUUACACAUGCAAGUCGAACGGUAACAGGCCUUCGGGUGCUGACGAGUGGCGCACGGGUGAGUAAUGCAUCGGAACGUACCCAGAGGUGGGGGAUAACGCAGCGAAAGCUGUGCUAAUACCGCAUGUGAUCUGAGGAUGAAAGCGGGGGACCGAGCAGCAAUGUUUGGCCUCGCGCCUUUGGAGCGGCCGAUGUCGGAUUAGCUAGUUGGUGGGGUAAAGGCCUACCAAGGCGACGAUCCGUAGCUGGUCUGAGAGGACGACCAGCCACACUGGGACUGAGACACGGCCCAGACUCCUACGGGAGGCAGCAGUGGGGAAUUUUGGACAAUGGGCGCAAGCCUGAUCCAGCGAUGCCGCGUGCGGGAAGAAGGCCUUCGGGUUGUAAACCGCUUUUGGCAGGAACGAAACGGUGUCCGCUAAUACCGGGCGCUAAUGACGGUACCUGCAGAAUAAGCACCGGCUAACUACGUG